rnacentral:tRNA from 1 species
UGGGCCGUGGUGCAAUCGGCAGCACAUCUGGUUCUGGCCCAGAAGGUUCUAGGUUCGAGUCCUAGCGGCCCAACCA